UAAAUGCAGCCCUGAACCCUUUGUUGUGGUAGGAUGCAGCAGAGUCCAAUCUAAAAAUAAUGCAGAUCACCUGAAAGUCCCAGCAAUUGCUGAAAAGUCUGAGCCAACAAGGAACCUCAGUACUCUUGUACUCUUGGCAAGCUGAGAAUUAACUCUGGUUCUGUGGAGAGAUAAGACCACAGCUCCUUCCUUCAAGGAGUGAAACUUUUCCCCAACUGAAAUGAAUCCUUGCAGCUCCCAGUCAGUUCUCAGCCAUUGUUCCCCAGAGAUAUACACCAAGGAUAAAAACAUUGUAAUUUAAUGCAAAGGAAGAAUAAGAAAAAGUUCCUGUCACAAGUCAAAGCACUCAUUGCUCAGCUGGCGGCUGCACAGUUAGGAAGCCUGGCUCUUCUCUGGGAGCUCCUUUGUCAAAUAGGCUCAGGAUGAACAAGAAACAACAUACUGAAUUCUUCUCCAAGGGCUGCAGCAGCUGUGGCCAUCUGCAGAGGAGUCACUGGACUACAGCGAUGGGCUACUUCUGGAGCAGCUUCAGUGAGCUGCAGGAGCUUCAUUUCCACAGAAUCCAUUCCCAGGAGGUUUCUCUGGGUCCCAGGUGGCUGUGGUGUUGCUCCAAAGCAACGAGCAUUGUGAAGAGGCUGAGCGGGAGCUGCUGCUGCCUGGAGAGAGCAGGUGUGGGGCAGAGGACCUGCGGUGCUCCCCACAUCAGAGCACGCCCAGCACCCGGCAGCGUGUGCGGUCCUGGCUGGGGCUCAUGUGAGCAGACAGGGGAAAGAAACCCAAGGGCUCCUUGUCUGCCAUCACAGAUACCUGGUUCUUGAAACCUCUUACAGCUCUGGGGUUCAAUUCCACUGUUGAUGUAACCAGUUUGAGUUGGGUGCCCAUCUAUGUUUAGAUCUCUGCAUGCCUGGCCCUCCUGCCCCACUGAAUUCUUUGUGAGCACUGCUUCAUCAGAGCACACUCUCACCAGCUGACUUUGGGUACCUUUCAGAUUUUUCACAGCAUCAAGAUCCAUUCCUUUGUGGGAAGAGACCUGUGGAUGUAUUCUGUUCCAUCAGGAAGCUCACACUUCAGGAUUUUCUCAUUUUCAAAUCAGCACAGGGGAGUCUGACAACAACGGGAAGAGUGGCAAUGAAAAGGUGCCUUCUGCCUUGUGCUCAGUAAACUGAACACAGCCCGAGCAACUGUGCUUUUGGGAGAGAAAAGCGAAUCAAUAACUCGAUGAGGACUGUCAAGUAAUGCUGUUGUCUGCAGUGUCUUUAAUGGCUUUGGUCAAUAAACUGAAAUUAUUUUACAAA